rnacentral:lncRNA from 1 species
UUUUCAUGGCGUCAAUCCGUCAUCUUGCUAGAACAAUUCAGUCCUACCGUACAAUCGCAUUUUGCAAAACCCUAACCCCUUCGAUUCCGCCUCUGCGCCGCCGCACUUACUGCUGCGAUCAGUAACGUGAUAUCUCCUGGAUUCACACCUAGUAGGUUCUGAAAUUGACUCGAUCCAUGAUGGGUUCAGAGAGUUCUGUGUAUUUUAUGUCGGAUCUAGACAAUGAUUUUGGUGGGGAUGGUGGUGCAGUGGUGGGAACGAUGGUGGUGAUAGUGGUGGGGAUGGUGGUGCGGUGGUGAGGAUGAUGGUGGUUAUGAUGGUGGUGCGGUGGGGAUAGUUGUGCGGUGGUGGGCUUGUGGUAGAGGGUGGUAGUGACAGGAUGUGUAGAGAGUGAGGAAGAAACAGAGAGAAAAUGCAGUGUGUGAAUUAUGUGAAAUAGU